AGGUUUAGGCAUUUUCUUAUCACAAUGGAUGCCGUCCCACCAGCCCCCCCCCGUUUUCGUUACAGUAACUACUGCAACUGUAACUGCAACUAGUGGUAGUACUGCUACAGAUACUACUACUUUUACUUCUACUCCCACCAGCCAGACGGCAUCUUCUAAACUAAGAGUAUACGUGCGGAUGAAGAUAAACAGCAGUGAGGAUCUGACCAACCCUACAGUAAUGGAGAACUUUCUUCAGAAGAUUAAACUUUCCAGCAUACAGUUCUCAAAGGUGCAACUAAAGUGGACUCUCCAACCACAGUGGGAAACUUAACAGAGGGUGUCAGUAAUGCAUUUUACGACCUUCUGGCAUGAAGAAGACAUGGCCAAAGGAGAGGAAGAAGAAAAGGAAAGAAAAGGAAAAGAAAGGCUCUGGUGUAGGGUUUUUUUGUGUGUGUGUGUGUGUGUGUGUUUGUUUUCUGGGUUAGCAUUAUGUAAGGACUUUGGUGUUUGAGAAUACAUCUAGCUAUCAUGUAACGUUUCCUUACCUGUUUAUUUAUUUUCUACAUCACAUUUUCGUUCUGGGAAAAUGGACGAUAUUGUACUUGGUGAAAAUCAGAGUGGGGUCCAGCUGUAGCCAAAUAAAUCAUUAUUAGAGAGUACAUUUUGGUAGAGAUGAGAGGUUUUAACAUUAUCCAUUUGCAGAGCCGGAGCACUAGACCUGCAGCAAUAGUUAGACCUGCUGAAGUUGCAAGACACCAUAUUUAAGUUUUGCGCCCCCUAGCAUCAGGGAAUGUAAUAUAAAGUGAAUUCAGGUAUAUUGAGACAGGGGGACAUAAACCGGACCUGAUAAGUGAUAAGUCAAAACUUAUGUUACUAAGUCCUUGUAGUGGAAUGCAUGAUGGAAAUAACAAGACUUAAUUAAUGUUAUGUCACAGAAUUUGAUUUAAGCAUCAAACUGUUUUUCUAGUUUAUUUGUGGUUUUCUGCUGUAAUUUUCAUCGAGUUAUCAAAAUAUUGAAGAUUUUCUGAACACUUAUUGUUGUUGGGUGAUG